GGUCCUCACCCUCCUCGGCUAAACCCCUGGUCUGUCUAUAAAAGAAGGUCUGUAAGACAAGGGGGUGCUGCGGGGCGGGUGGGCACCGCCAACCUCCCGCACUCUGGGCACAAGCUCGGCACAAACUUGAGGGGCUGCCUGGAGUGGGUGCCGGGGGAGAGGGCGCACACGAGGAGGGGAGGGGGCAGGAGGAACAGGAGGCAAAGCUCUGGAGUCCAAAGCCACAUGCUGUCAGCAGCCAAUAAAGCCCAGAGGCCCUUCCCAGCCUGGGGGGUCUGACCCACGGAGUCCCACCCUGUGGGGCAGGGGGCGAGGCUGACUUACUGGUCAUGCAGAGCAGAGUGUGGAAGAGCCACAUCUUGGCCGGAGCAGAGGCGGUGGCGUGGGCCUCAGCCUGCUCAGCUUCCCUCCUCAGCUCCUGGGCUCGGGCGGCCAGGAGGCGGGGACAGAGGCGCACACACAGGCAAGGACCACAGGCGCUUUCAAGUAGACACAGACGCCCCACUCUACACAGUUGGCUGCGUGGCUGACUCAGCAGCUGUGGGCUGGGUCCUGGCAGCCUAGAGACACCUGCCAGCCCUGCCCCAUCACCCACACUCUGCUCACGGAACCGAGAGCCCAGGCUUGGCCUGGGAACAGGGCUGGACGUGCUCAGCUGAUGUUCGAGGUGCAGGAACAGUAUUAAUCCAGCCGUUGUCUACCAUCCAUUAGUGAAAGCUUGCUUGACCAACGGCCUGUAAAGAUGGGUGUUACGUACAACAUUCUUGCAUCAUUUGCUGAGGUCUGACCAAACCCCUGCAGCCAGCAUGGAGAGCUCCUGGAUGUCACACAGUUGUCUGAAUAGACAUUACGAGGCAGUGUUUUUCACACUGUGUGCCAGCCAACAGAGAAGUGACACAGCUGAAACUCCGAAGGUCUGGGGAGUCACCCACCAGGUCACAAGGAAGAGACCAUCCCAAGGCGACUUACCCUCAUCACAGGCCCAGGUCCUGGCUGUCUCCCCACACUCUGGGGCACUGGCCCCCAGCGGGAGGGGGCAGCCCCAGGCCGCAGAGCAGAGCAGCGGCAGCAGGGCCAGGCGAGGACCAGGCCCGUGGGCCGCUGCAGGUUUCUGAGAGAAGCAGGACGUCGGUUUGGAGUGUGAACUUCUGGACCUCUCAGGAAGCCAGGUGAGGCCGGCGAGGGGACACUGUAACAGGAGCAGGGCAUUUCCAGCAUCUUCAGAGACUUCCAGAAUGCUGACUCCUCCUGCAUCCACCUAAGAUCUAUUUUCCAAGCUUGUGGGUGCCAGCAUGGCAGACCCCUAGUCAUGCACACACAGGGGCCUCUUCUGAUGGUAACUGCUGUCCCCACAAACCCAGAUAUGAAGGCCUCAAGGCAGAGCCAGGCUGCGCUGUGCAUCGCUCCCGGCUCACAGCGCUGAGCACAAGGCUGGGCAUUCAGCAACUACACAUGUAUCUAAAAGGAAUGUGAAAAUGGCUCUGACUUAGUUUACGUUAAACGUUCUGUCAAGGACCAACUUGGGAGGUAUUCUACAACAUAACUGGACUGAACUCUUCAAAAACGUCACUCUCAUAAAAAGCAAAGGAAUUGGUCCAGAUACAGGAGAUGAGAGAGAGGAUAUUAAAUGUAGUGUGUGAUCCUGGAUUGGAUCCGAGACC
rnacentral:lncRNA from 1 species